GUCGCUACUACCGAUUGAAUGGCUUAGUGAGCUCUAGGGACCGUUGGCUUAGGUUGGUUCGCCUACCUUUGACAUUCGGGAACUGGCGCUAACUUGAUCAUUUAGAGGAAGGUG
rnacentral:rRNA from 1 species